rnacentral:rRNA from 1 species
GGCAGUGGGAAUCUUCCGCAAUGGACGAAAGUCUGACGGAGCAACGCCGCGUGAGUGAAGAAGGCCUUCGGGUCGUAAAACUCUGUUGCCGGGGAAGAACAAGUGCCGUUCGAACAGGGCGGCGCCUUGACGGUACCCGGCCAGAAAGCCACGGCUAACUACGUGCCAGCAGCCGCGGUAAUACGUAGGUGGCAAGCGUUGUCCGGAAUUAUUGGGCGUAAAGCGCGCGCAGGCGGCUUCUUAAGUCUGAUGUGAAAUCUUGCGGCUCAACCGCAAGCGGUCAUUGGAAACUGGGAGGCUUGAGUGCAGAAGAGGAGAGUGGAAUUCCACGUGUAGCGGUGAAAUGCGUAGAGAUGUGGAGGAACACCAGUGGCGAAGGCGGCUCUCUGGUCUGUAACUGACGCUGAGGCGCGAAAGCGUGGGGAGCAAACAGGAUUAGAUACCCUGGUAGUCCACGCCGUAAACGAUGAGUGCUAAGUGUUAGAGGGUUUCCGCCCUUUAGUGCUGCAGCUAACGCAUUAAGCACUCCGCCUGGAGACCCAA